AUUGAACGCUGGCGGCGUGCUUAACACAUGCAAGUCGAGCGGCAGCGCGGGAGCAAUCCUGGCGGCGAGCGGCGAACGGGUGAGUAAUGCUUCGGAAUCUGCCCUUCAGUGGGGAAUAACCAGUCGAAAGACUGGCUAAUACCGCAUACGAACUGAGGUUGAAAGCAGGGGAUCGCAAGACCUUGCGCUGAUGGAUGAGCCGAAGUCGGAUUAGCUUGUUGGUGGGGUAAUGGCCUACCAAGGCGACGAUCCGUAGCUGGUCUGAGAGGACGACCAGCCACACUGGGACUGAGACACGGCCCAGACUCCUACGGGAGGCAGCAGUGGGGAAUUUUGCGCAAUGGACGAAAGUCUGACGCAGCAACGCCGCGUGGGUGAUGAAGGUCUUCGGAUUGUAAAACCCUGUCGCCAGGGACGAAGGGUGGGGCGUGAAUAGCGUUCUACUUUGACGGUACCUGGAAAGGAAGCCCCGGCUAACUCUGUGCC
rnacentral:rRNA from 1 species